UGGGGAAUAUUGCACGAUGGGGGAAACCCUGAUGCAGCGACGCCGCGUGAGCGAAGAAGGUUUUCGAAUCGUAAAGCUCUGUCCUAUGAGAAGAUAAUGACGGUAUCAUAGGAGGAAGCCCCGGCUAAAUACGUGCCAGCAGCCGCGGUAAUACGUAUGGGGCGAGCGUUGUCCGGAAUUAUUGGGCGUAAAGGGUACGUAGGCGGUCUAUUAAGUCAGGUGUGAAAGCGUGAGGCUUAACCUCAUUAAGCACUUGAAACUGAUAGACUUGAGUGAAGGAGAGGAAAGUGGAAUUCCUAGUGUAGCGGUGAAAUGCGUAGAUAUUAGGAGGAAUACCGGUGGCGAAGGCGACUUUCUGGACUUUUACUGACGCUCAGGUACGAAAGCGUGGGGAGCAAACAGG
rnacentral:rRNA from 1 species